rnacentral:rRNA from 1 species
CGUAGGGGGCAAGCGUUGUCCGGAAUUAUUGGGCGUAAAGAGCGUGUAGGCGGUUCGGUAAGUCAGCUGUGAAAGUCAAGGGCUCAACCCUUGAAUGCCGGUUGAUACUGUCGGGCUAGAGUCCGGAAGAGGCGAGUGGAAUUCCCGGUGUAGCGGUGAAAUGCGCAGAUAUCGGGAGGAACACCAAUGGCGAAGGCAGCUCGCUGGGACGGUACUGACGCUGAGACGCGAAAGCGUGGGGAGCAAACAGGAUU